rnacentral:rRNA from 1 species
GUGUCAGCAGCCGCGGUAAUACGUAGGUGGCAAGCGUUGUCCGGAAUUAUUGGGCGUAAAGGGCUCGCAGGCGGUUUCUUAAGUCUGAUGUGAAAGCCCCCGGCUCAACCGGGGAGGGUCAUUGGAAACUGGGAAACUUGAGUGCAGAAGAGGAGAGUGGAAUUCCACGUGUAGCGGUGAAAUGCGUAGAGAUGUGGAGGAACACCAGUGGCGAAGGCGACUCUCUGGUCUGUAACUGACGCUGAGGAGCGAAAGCGUGGGGAGCGAACAGGAUUAGAAACCCUCGUAGUCC